rnacentral:lncRNA from 1 species
CUCCCCAACAUCAGACUGUACCCUCUGUCUCUAUCUUGUUACUUCCCUCUGUCUGUCUCAAUUUCUCUCUCAUGUCCCCUCCCAGAGCAAGCCUUCCAUUCUCACCAACCCUCCAAUAAACCUCGUGCCCUAGAUCUGUUGCAUGGUCUGUCUCUUAGCGACACACCUUAGCCCCGGACCUGCCAAAGAUAUUUUUAUCCUAGUAGCAACCCCUGAAAAACAGCCAGUGAUAUGGAGUCUCCCCUUGCCUUGCCUUGCCUACGACACUGUUCACCUCAGAAAUCAGCCAGUGGCAUCGAAUACAAGGAGUGUAUGGGAAGUAAACCAAAUACAUUUUGGAGAUAUCAAGUGUCCUGUUGAUACUGAUAAAACAAUACUGGGGAGAGGAUUUUUGACGGAAGAAAAGGAGGAUCUUUGGGGAAUACUAAAAAACACCAGUCAAUCAGACCAACAGUGA